AUGAUCAAAUUCACAACCCUUUUCACAAAUAAGCGAAGAAGUAGAAAGUGUCCCUCCAUUGGGAUCCAUUUGCUAUUAUCCCAACAAAAACACUCACAAAUUCAAAGUCUUUUGCCUUCAGACUUUUCUUUUGAAAAUCUUUUCAUAAAAAGGAUGUGUUAUUUCCAUUCUGCGCAA